UUGACUAAACUCUCUUUUUAUGAUUUUUCUUCCAAUUUUAGUUUAUUCCUUUUUCUAUGUAUCUGUCAUCAUCCUCAUUUUUUAACACUCCCUUCCACUUCUUACUAUUACUUUUUUUCUUUCAUUGAUGGUAGAAAACAAUGACUUCUCUUAUUUUCUUUCCGACUUUCUAUUUGGCUUAUUCCUUUUUCUAUGUUUAUGUCAUCAGCCUCAUUUUCAACCCUCCCUUCCACUUCUUACUAUUACUUUUUUUCUUUCUUUGAUGGUAGAAAACAAUGACUUCUCUUAUUUUCUUUCAGACUCUCUAUUUAGUUUAUUACUUUUUUCACAUUUUUGUCAUCAGCCUCAUUAUUGGCCUUUCUUCCCCUUCUUGUCAUUACUUAUCUUUUUUUGACUGUUGAAAACCAUGACUUUUAACUCUCAUUCUUUUUUCCACUCCAACAGACUGUUCACCCGAGCCUCAUUCACGUCCGGCGCCUCGCAUUCAUCAGGACUUUUACUUGUGUUCAUAUGGAGUCGCUGAUUUUAGGCCACGGCUUGGGUUUAGGACCGAAUAUCCUUCCUGACGUCACACGAUGGCAAUGGGGCUCGAACCGCCUCGCCACGGCUCUUCCCUUCCAUGGGUUGACGCUCUAUCCCACUCGACCACCGCGCCUCCCCAAAUAUUUUCUGGGUCAGCUUCCUCUUUCUCCUCUUCAGAGGAAGUCGAGAUCGUGACGGCCGGCAGCAAACACUCGGAUUCCUUCGGGGGCGCCUGGGUCCGCGCGCCCAACCUCUGCCGGCGCCCUUCAUUAAAAACAGGUGAG